UGGUGUUAUUCCUGCCUGAUGUGAUUCUUAUCGUGAGUUUUGUUCCUGCCCAGUUCCCCAGCAUUUUUACUGCCUAUUCAACUGGCGGCCCAGCAGCAGCCUGAUCAGGCAGGAUGUUUACGGAUGUAGCGACACCGCCAAUCAUAUCUUUCACAAAUCACCGUUUUCUCAUGUGAGCUCCGAGCAGCUUUUCAAAACAUCUGGUUGUCGACAGUCACAAGUAGGGAAGUGCUCUAAUGAAAAUAUGUCUGUCAACCAUGAAAUGUAAAUCUGACAAUGAAAACCGUCACUUUAACCCUGCCUGGACUGCUAGUAGAGAGAGACAGGACAAGGAGAGGAACACAGGUCCCCCAGCCGGGAAGUGAACAGUGGACCUUGUCAACCACCCCAUCUGUGAAAAUUCUAAUGUAACAAUGUUAACAGGGUUUUCAAUGAUAUGGUGUCUCUAUUAAAAGGAACACACAGACACAA